CCUUCUGUUCCUAUCCUAGAUCCUUAGAAUAUACACAAAGUUUUCAUGGACCACACAUUAUGAAACACUGGAUUAGAGCAAAGUGAAAUGCUUCCAGAGUAGGAGCCACUAUUCUGAGGAAGCUUGGAAGAAAAAGUAUCAAAAUAUGUUACUAUAUUUUGGGGGGAUAGAGACAGAACUUAAAAUUGAUUGAACUCCAAAUAUGGCCAAUUUUUUAGAAGAUUUAAUCUUUCCCUAAAGCUCUUUGUUUACCCAUAAAAUGUGAACUUUCCUUGACUUUGACUGGGUAUGGAGUAGAUUGAUGGUAUUGACUGAUAUUUUUGAGUGUGUAGUUUGUGGUUUUAUGAAGCAUUUUUAUAUUGUCUAUACACUUUUGGAAAGUAUAUGCAAUUGCUAAAACUUCAACGUUAUCUUUUUCUUUUGAUGAAAUAGAAAACAUCGCCGAUUUCAUCUGUUCCUUCAGUCCCCAGAUAGCAGACGACUGGUAGGAAGAUGAGGCAAGUUUGUGGUCCAUUGUCAUGGAUAGUGGAGACAACAAUGGGCCAGAAGUGGUAAGACCUGAAUCCAAGACUCAGCUCUGCCGCUUGCUAAAUGGGACUUUGAAUAAACCAUUUCUCUGCACUUAAGUUCCUUACCAACAAAAUGAGGGAAGUGGCCUACAUGCCUAGAUAUCAACAUUUCAUGUCAUGUAGAGAUCUAGCAUCACAAGACUCCAAGUCAUCCUUUGUUGCCUUUAAGACAAAAAGCAGAUCAGCAAGUUUUCAUAUUGCACUAUUUUCAAUGGCUGGAGCAUCAACAUUUUACAACAAGAAAAAAAUUAAAAUUCUUCAACAUUUGGAAAAGAAGUGCUUGUAA
rnacentral:lncRNA from 1 species